ensembl:lncRNA
GUGCAGAAAAGAGCAAUUCUAGCAGGGACAACACAGCAGUCGUGAUUAUAAUGACCUAACAAUUAAGGGUUAGGUGAAAAUCCCUCUACACUCGGGAGACUGUUCUGAAUCUUCAUCACGUACAGGUGCCACAGCUAAGCCUGCGUGCUUGCCCGGUCUCACUCAGAACUGGAAACGCCCUGUGGACUCCUGUUUCCUCACCUCCUGGCCUGCUCCUCUGACCGAAGGACACGGCUCUGGGACUCCUGUGAGUUCUGACUGGCCUGCUAUUACGACGCUUCUUUCUGAUAAGUGCCCUGUUGUUUGUUGUUGUUCAGUUGCUCAGUCGUGUCCAGCUCUUUGCGACCCCAUGGACUGCAGCACAGCCAGGCUUCCCUGUCCUUCACUGUCUCCCGGAGCUUGUUCAACCUCAUAUCCACUGAGUCGGUGAUGCCGUCCAACCAUCUCAUCCUCUGCCGCCCCCUUCUCCUCCUGCCCUCAAUCUUUCCCAGCAUCAGGGUCUUUUCCAAUGAGUUGGCUCUUUGCAUCAAGUGGCCAAAGUAUUGGAGCUCAGCUUCAGCAUCAGUCCUUCCAUUCCUUCCUGGCACUGGAUAAGGGCUAAGAUGUUGCUUCUGCAGGUCCUUCCCGCAAUAAAAGUGGAGAGGUGACCUUUUUGGUCUUCCCUGGUGGCUCAGAUGGUAAAGAACCUGCCUGCAAUGCAGGAGACUGGAGUUCAAUCCCUGGAUUGGGAAGAUCCCUUGGAGAAAGGAACAACAAUCCACUCCACUAUUCUUGCCUGGAGAAUCCCGGGGGACAGAGGAGCCUGGAGGGCUACAGUCCAUGGGGUUUCGAAGAGUCAGACACGACUGAGCGACUAACACUGUCAGUUUUCAGAGGUGACCUUGUCUUGUCAAUAAUGCUUGUGGGAGAGAAGCAGCCAUGUAUCCUUGGCGUGGGACACUCAUCUUUCCCGUCGGUAACCAGUGGGACCCAGUCCUGCUUUGCUGGCCCAACUCCAAACC